AUGUGUUAGUAAACUUUCAGCAUCAUUAGAAGUAACAGUGUGAGCAGAAGCAGGGGUAGAUGAGGAUCCCACAAUCUCCAAUAAAGAUUCAAGAAUUCCACUGGAGUCACUAGAUGUACCAAACAGACCUGUAUGAAAAUCUGAUGCAGUUAGUGGGAGCUGAGUCUGAUUCAUAAAAUAUAUACAAUGAUUAGCAACAACAUUAACACCACUGACAAGAUGAAGUGAAUAACAUUAUAUUGAUACUAUGGCACCUGUCAAGGGGUGGGAUAUAUUAGGCAGCAAGAUGAGCAGACAGCUCUUGAAUUUCAUGUGCUGAAACAGGAAAAUGGAAAAACAAAAAG